rnacentral:lncRNA from 10 species
AGAGGCUCGCGGCUUCUGCCUCCCGCCCCCACUCUUUUCGUUUUUUGUCGUCUUCAUAAGCCGCAGAAGGAACCCAAACCUUUUCCCUGUUUCUUUCACUACAUGAAAGCACAGUAGCUGAGGGUAGGGGAAAGUCGUUGCAGUGGCGCUCUCGGCGCUUCUCCCGUUGCUGCCCUGCCCACCACGGCCUUGAGGAGAGGCAGCCAAGCACAAUGGCCGCGGUCAGGGCCGCGAGCUCUGCUUGUGCCCACGCCCCGACGCCUGCUUGGCCUGGGUGACCAAUGCUUCUGGCCAGGACCUCCGGAGCUGCCCUUCGCCUCCCUGCGAUUGGCCCGUGCCAGAUUUUUCCUGGGGCCGAGCGCAGACCACCCCGGCCGCCACUCAAAGGCCGGGCCUGGCUCCCACCCAGCGGUUGGUGAACCAGAGCUGCGGGCUCUGAGAGCUUCGGUCCCGGGCGGCAGCCCACAGCGGGCGCGGGGCCUGGGUGCGAGGGGCGGGGCAGAGACCGCGAGAGAGAGUUCUCGUGAAAUUCGGGAGACUCAACGUGGGGGAAAAACAGUAUCUGGGGAUCCAGGUGCGGAAAUGCACCUCAAGUGCAGGAACGCGGGUCAGGGAUAGGCCCGACGGGCCUUGGGGGUGGGGAGAAGGGUGAAUAAUGGAAGGUUGGUGCGGGAAAGAACCUUGGUACAAAUCCCGCCAUUUUAAGCGGAGGUUCGGAGAGAAAACAAGGUCACUAACCCAGGAAAAUGUCUGCCUCUUUCCCAUAAAUCGCCUGGCCCUGGCCACAGACCUCCUGGAGACUCUGUUCUCUGCUCACGCCGGUCAGUCUUAGAUUGGUUGGCUGGAGUACUGCUGGACAGAUAGAGAAAUAGGAGAAAACAGGGAAGCCUGAGAACCUUGGGAGGAAUUGUUAUUUGCUUAAUGGCCAGAACCUCCAGGAGGGCAAGAACCAGAUAUGCUGUGUUCACCCUUGUUCUCUAUUAUCUAUCACAGUUGCAAGACAACAUGGGGAUCAGUAAAUAGUCAACAAAUAAUGGAGUAGAAGAAGGUGAGAAAGAACUUUGCAGUGGAAUGCACCCUAUUUAGUUCUAAUCUUAUAUUACUAUAUGCUAUUAUAGACAGUGUGAACAGUGGUUAAACCACAGACUCUGGAAGUUAAGAUUCCUGGUUUUGCCAGACACUAGCUAUACAACCGUUAACAAGCUAUAUGACUUCUUUAUGCCUCAGUUUGCUCUGACAUGAAAUGAAGCUAAUAAUACCUACCUCAGAAUCUUUAUGAGGAUUUAUAUAUUUGAAGCACUUAUAACAGUACCGUCUGUAAGCUAGUAAUACUUUUUUAAAGCAACUCUAUGAGGUAGUGCUGCAGGAAAUUAAGUCUUCAAGACAUUCUAGUAGUUGCCUAGGGUCCCACAAAUUAGUAAGUCAAAAAUCUGUCAUAUAAAUCUGGAUCUGACAGUACCCCCAGAGUCAUUGCAUUAGUUGGGAUACAGAGAUGGCUUAUUCACAGUCUGUCUUAAGAAGCAGG